AGAGUUUGAUCCUGGCUCAGGAUGAACGCUGGCGGUCUGCUUAACACAUGCAAGUCGAACGGAAUCCUUCGGGAUUUAGUGGCGGACGGGUGAGUAACACGUAAGAACCUGCCUCUAGGACGGGGACAACAGUUGGAAACGACUGCUAAACCCGGAUGAGCCGAAAGGUAAAAGAUUUAUCGCCUAGAGAGGGGCUUGCGUCUGAUUAGCUAGUUGGUAAGGUAAAAGCUUACCAAGGCGACGAUCAGUAGCUGGUCUGAGAGGAUGAUCAGCCACACUGGGACUGAGACACGGCCCAGACUCCUACGGGAGGCAGCAGUGGGGAAUUUUCCGCAAUGGGCGAAAGCCUGACGGAGCAAGACCGCGUGGGGGAGGAAGGUUCUUGGAUUGUCAACCCCUUUUCUCAGGGAAGAACAAAAUGACGGUACCUGAGGAAAAAGCAUCGGCUAACUCCGUGCCAGCAGCCGCGGUAAUACGGGGGAUGCAAGCGUUAUCCGGAAUGAUUGGGCGUAAAGAGUCCGUAGGUAGUCAUUCAAGUCUGCUGUUAAAGAGCGAGGCUUAACCUCGUAAAGGCAGUGGAAACUGAAAGACUAGAGUGUAGUAGGGGCAGAGGGAAUUCCUGGUGUAGCGGUGAAAUGCGUAGAGAUCAGGAAGAACACCGGUGGCGAAGGCGCUCUGCUGGGCUAUAACUGACACUGAGGGACGAAAGCUAGGGGAGCGAAUGGGAUUAGAUACCCCAGUAGUCCUAGCGGUAAACGAUGGAAACUAGGUGUUGCCUGUAUCGACCCGGGCAGUGCCGAAGCUAACGCGUUAAGUUUCCCGCCUGGGGAGUACGCACGCAAGUGUGAAACUCAAAGGAAUUGACGGGGGCCCGCACAAGCGGUGGAGUAUGUGGUUUAAUUCGAUGCAACGCGAAGAACCUUACCAGGACUUGACAUCUCUGGAAUCCCGCCGAAAGGUAGGAGUGCCGAAAGGAACCAGAAGACAGGUGCUGCAUGGCUGUCG
rnacentral:rRNA from 1 species